UGCUGCUACCGCUAGCUGUUCCUCAAACUACUUAAAAAGUGUGACACUGUGUGCACAGGCGUUCAAGUUUCAAUUGAUCCUCAAGCACAAAGCCUUCAUACAAUACCGCGGUUGAGGCGCGACAAAUCUGAUGACCCUACGGACAAAGAGCGGGUAAUUUUUAUCAUGGUUAGCGUAAAAACCUAGAAUCAAGCCGAUGGAAGAUUUCGUAGGCUUAAAAAAGGGGAGAGAAUCGGUACCACGGUUCUCUCCCACUCCCAUAUAAAAUACACGGUGCGUUCUCUAGGUUUCCGAGGCUUCUUUUAAAAGUAUUCUCGGAAACCGAGAAAGAACCUCGGAAACCGAGAGAGCGCACCGUGUGUUUCAUAUGGGAGCGGGAGAGAACCGUGGUACCCGUUCCCGCCCCCUUUUUUAAGCCUACGAAAUCUUCCAUCGGCUUGAUUCUAGGUUUUUACGCACACCAUGAUAAAAAUUACCCGCUCUUUGUCCGUAGGGCAGGCUUCCAAGCACCGUGUGUGUGUGUAUGUAAGUAUGUGAGAACACAUGUGUGAAUCCUCUUGUGGGAACUGCAAAAAGAAGAGAAUAAAGAGUGUGAAGCAGCUAGACAGCCCUACUAGCAAUGAGAAUGAAAAAGUGUGCGACUUUCAGGCGAGGGGCACGUAGAAACAUGGGGAGACGGUUGGAAAUACGCGGAAUCACGCGGAGACGCGAGCGUGUUUUGGUUUCUACACAGUUUUUGCACUCAAACAAUUACACAUGUGUGAAUGUGUGCGUUCACUUUCAGCCUGCGCGCUCAGUUUGGUUUUCUCGCAGCGGCAUGCGGGUAUCGGUGUCUCGCUGGCACUAGUGCAGCGAGUGUUCCUCUGUGCGCUCCCUUUCUUGCCACCACACGAAAUCGUCAGUUCAGCUCAAGCGUUUGCCUAAGUCCCGGGCGAUCGAAUUUUCGCUAAGUGUUGAAGUGUUGUGCACUUUGAAAUGAAGCUGCGCUUUUCUUUCACCAUUUAACUUAAAUGUGUGAUUUGCGCUGCUUUAUUUCAAUGUUUUUUUUGCUGUAUUGAACAUCAACAACGGGAUCCACGCAGUUAGACGUGAAUUAGAAAUACGACGAUUUUUUUUU